GAGGGUAUAGCUCAGUGGUAGAGCACGUGCUUAGCAUACAUAAGGUCCUGGGUUCAAUCCCCAAUACCUCCU
rnacentral:tRNA from 1 species